AUCAUACUCAUCCGUUCUAAAAUUCUUGUCUUAGCUUUGUCUUGAAAUAGAUGUAUCUAAAUACUAAAACUUCACUAGAUACAUUCAUAUCAUCUAAAUAAAUCUAAGACAAGAAUUUUGGGACGGAGGAAGUAGUUU
rfam:Hordeum vulgare subsp. vulgare, WGS project CAJW01000000 data, contig: morex_contig_1980940